rnacentral:rRNA from 1 species
UACGGAGGAUGCGAGCGUUAUCCGGAUUUAUUGGGUUUAAAGGGUGCGCAGGCGGCCUGUUAAGUCAGCGGUAAAAGCCCGGGGCUCAACCCCGGCGAGCCGUUGAAACUGGCGGGCUGGAGUUGGAGAGAAGUACGCGGAAUGCGCGGUGUAGCGGUGAAAUGCAUAGAUAUCACGCAGAACUCCGAUCGCGAAGGCAGCCUACCGGCGCGCUACUGACGCUCAUGCACGAAAGCGUGGGGAGCAAACAGG